UUUCCAGUCGUGAGAAGGUAGGUGUAGUUAAUAGCUGCAUCAUUGGACGUUAGCGACAGAGAAGCACCGGCUAACUCCGUGCCAGCAGCCGCGGUAAUACGGAGGGUGCGAGCGUUAUUCGGAAUUACUGGGCGUAAAGCGCAUGCAGGUGGUUAGUUAAGUCAGAUGUGAAAGCCCGGGGCUCACCUUCGGAAUUGCAUUUGAAACUGGCUGACUAGAGUACUGUAGAGGGGGGGUAGAAUUUCAGGUGUAGCGGUGAAAUGCGUAGAGAUCUGAAGGAAUACCGGUGGCGAAGGCGGCCCCCUGGACAGAUACUGACAUUCAGAUGCGAAAGCGUGGGGAGCAACCAGGAUUAGAUACCUUGGUAGUCCACGCGGUAAACGAUGUCUACUUGGAGGUUGUGCCCUUGAGCCGUGGCUUUGGGAGUUAACGCGUUAAGUAGACCCCCUGGGGAGUACGGUCGCAAGAUUAAAAUUCAAAUGAAUUGACGGGGGCCCGCCCAAGCGGUGGAGCAUGUGGUUUAAUUGGAUGCAACGGGAAGACCCUUACUUAUUCUUGACAUCCAGAGAACUUACCAGAGAUGUUUUGGUCCCUUCGGGAAUUUUGAGCCAGGUGCUGCAUGGCUGUCGUCAGCUCGUGUUGUGAAAUGUUGGGUUAAGUCCCCCAACGAGCCCAACCCUUAUCCUUGUUUCCCAGCACUUAGGGUGGGAACUCCAGGGAGACUGCCGGUGAUAAACCGGAGGAAGGUGGGGACGACGUCAAGUCAUCAUGGCCCUUACGAGUAGGGCUACACACGUGCUACAAUGGCGCAUACAGAGGGCUGCCAACUUGCGAAAGUGAGCGAAUCCCAAAAAGUGCGUCGUAGUCCGGAUUGGAGUCUGCAACUCGACUCCAUGAAGUCGGAAUCGCUAGUAAUCGUGGAUCAGAAUGCCACGGUGAAUACGUUCCCGGGCCUUGUACACACCGCCCGUCACACCAUGGGAGUGGGCUGCAAAAGAAGUGGGUAGUUUAACCUUCGGGAGGACGCUCACCACUUGGG
rnacentral:rRNA from 1 species